GCUCGUGUAGUCUAGUUGGUAGGACUCAGCCCUGCCACGGCUGGAACCCGGGUUCGAAUCCCGGCGCGUGCA
rnacentral:tRNA from 1 species